GACGAACGCUGGCGGCGUGCCUAAUACAUGCAAGUCGAGCGAGCUGAACCAACAGAUUUACUUCGGUAAUGACGUUGGGAACGCGAGCGGCGGAUGGGUGAGUAACACGUGGGGAACCUGCCCCUCAGUCUGGGAUACCACUUGGAAACAGGUGCUAAUACCGGAUAAUAAAGCAGAUCGCAUGAUCAGCUUUUGAAAGGCGGCGUAAGCUGUCGCUAAGGGAUGGCCCCGCGGUGCAUUAGCUAGUUGGUAGGGUAACGGCCUACCAAGGCAAUGAUGCAUAGCCGAGUUGAGAGACUGAUCGGCCACAUUGGGACUGAGACACGGCCCAAACUCCUACGGGAGGCAGCAGUAGGGAAUCUUCCACAAUGGACGAAAGUCUGAUGGAGCAACGCCGCGUGAGUGAAGAAGGUUUUCGGAUCGUAAAGCUCUGUUGUUGGGAAGAAGGAUAGAGGUAGU
rnacentral:rRNA from 1 species